UUGACAAUUGACAGAUGAUCGACGGUAAAUUCAGUAAAUUGUAAAUAUAAAGAAAUCUUAGAAUAAACCUUCUAUUUUAUAUUCAUAUAUUCUAAGAAAUAAAUCAAAUCCAAAUCAUAUAUCCUAACAACAAUAUAGGUCUGGAUCCCGCGUAUGAAAAAAAAGUUGAUUAAUAGCAAGCUGAAAAUUUGUUAAUAGCUUAAGGGUGUCUAGUUGGAUAAACUUUGAUAUAUGGGAAUACUGAAACAGGGGCAGUUUUAGUUGUGGAACAGGUUAAAAAUUUGGAACGGUCACACCACGAAAACGGCACAUUUAUUUUGUCCGACAGAAUAGACUUAAAACUCUCCUAACAGAGAUUAAACUCUCAUGUAAAAAUCAGACUGCUAUUUAUCACCUGUCAUAAUUCCUGUCAUUUGAUAUAUUCUACAUGUUCCACUCAUUAAAACGCCCAUUUGGUGAUAAAUAGCAGUCUGAUUUUUGCAUGAGAGUUUAAUCUCUGUUCGGAGAGUUUAAGUCUGUUCUGUCGGACAAAAUAAAUGUGCCGUUUUCGUGGUCUGACCGUUCCAAAUUUUUAACCUGUUCCACAAUUAAAACUGCCCCUGUUCCAGUGUUCCCAUAUAUCAAAGUUUAUCUGACUAGACACCCUUAAGCUAUUAACAAAUUUUUAGCUUGCUAUUAAUCAACUUUUUUUUCAUACGCGGGAUCCAGACCUAAUAACUAAGUCGGGAACGGGAACAAUGGAUAAAAGCCAAAAAAAGGAGAACAAAUCUAAAAUUAAAAUAUGAAAGAGUAUGCUGUGAAUAUUGUGGAAAGCCAGCCACUUUAGAGGAUAUAAAUAAUGAAGAUUAGAAGAUUGGAUUCCAAACCAAAACAUAGUGUACCAAAGCCAGGCAAUAAAAAGAAAUGGUGAUCUAGAGCGCAAGGAAAUAGCUGAUAAAAGAAAUAAAAGUGAAGAAAAUAAUGCUGAGACUUCUCUCGACCAUGAACAAACACCACUAACACCAGAUAUUUUAAAUGUAGGAAAAGGAGAAACUGCUGGAACUUAACACAAAGGGGUUUGACUAGUGAAGAUUUGGAUAAACAAAAGGAAUUACUUUGGGCUAUAGCUACAUGCAGGUUUAUUUCCUUGUGGCUUCCUAUGUAUAUUCUUAUGAACUAUACACUUUGAUAUGUUUUUAGUCUCAUGAAGAUUUUAUAAUUUAUUAUUUUAUGUAUAUUGUUAUAUUUAUGAUGAAUAAACAUUAUUAUUAUUACGGUAA